rnacentral:rRNA from 1 species
UACGAAGGGGGCUAGCGUUGCUCGGAAUUACUGGGCGUAAAGCGCACGUAGGCGGCUUUCUAAGUCGGGGGUGAAAUCCUGGAGCUCAACUCCAGAACUGCCUUCGAUACUGGCGGGCUCGAGGCUGGUAGAGGGCGGUGGAAUUCCGGGUGUAGUGGUGGAAUGCGUAGAGCUCCGGAGGAACACCAGUGGCGAAGGCGGCCGCCUGGGCCACGCCUGACGCUGAGCCGCGAAAGCGUGGGGAGCGAUCCGG